CCCGGUCGCGACGCCGCCCUGCCACACUCUCUCUCCUCCCAGAAUCCCCCCAAUCUCCCACCAGCCAUGGAUGCCGCGGCGCUGCCCUGUUUCGAUCGGCGAUCCGCUUGCUUCGCCGCUAGCUCCCCGAGCCCUACUACGGCCGGGCGCGCGCCCGAGCGAGGAGGCAUCGCCGCGCGCGGAUCAUGGAUGGUAGGUCGGAUGGCCGGUGGCGGCUGCGGCGCCGACGACCGAAAGGCCGGCUAGGUUAUCCAAUACAAGCUAUCCAAAUUUCAAUGGUGCUGAACUGCUGCAUUUCGAAACAUGAAUUACAAGACUUGCUUAUUGAUAUUCUUACACUAGGAUGAUCCUGGGAUUCUGUUUGCCAUCAUAGUAGUUGCAUUUCACACCUUCCCAGGUUUACCAUCGAUGGUGUCAGUGGUGAGGUUUUCCAUCCGAACAAGCGAGUAAGCCUCAAAGGCGUUGAUGAGUGGUGGGAGCUCCGAGCUGUUUGUCUUGCACAGGGUGAAAGUUGUACCUGACUCAUGUAGGUACCGGUCCCUCAGGUACACGCUGUCCACCUGCAAGUAGGACGGUGAGAAGGCCUGGUGCAGCUCGUUGCCAUCACUAUAGAUUUGGAACGUCCGAUUUGGGCGGUUCUUUUCUAUCUCAGCAAAGUGGAAGAUCGGGAGAAGCUCCAGGCUCUGGCCAUUCAGGUUAUCACCGGCCGUUAUGCUGAUGUUGAGCCAUGAAAAACCGCUGUUGAUGGUGGAUGCCUUCUGGACGAUGAGUGUUGGCACCUGGAAGUUGUCAUUUCCUGGGAGCUUGUUCACUGUUUGGUUGGUGGUCAGGUUGAGCCAGGGAUAGGAGUAGCAUUGGGCUGCUUCCCAGAAACGAUCAAAGAGAUCAGUUGGAUAUCUGUAUCACCACGGCAACAUAAAUGGAGAAGCAAUUGAUACAGGGCACCUACGGUUGCAAUAUGGUAUAAUAAAAGAAACAGAAAAAAAAGAAUCUUCAUCUCACCUUGUGAUGAAAUCAUCGACUGCCCCAAAUCUCAUUCGAGUAAAGUAGCUUACAGACACAAAAAGAUUCAGGAAUGGGUACAUUGGAUCAUCCAAUUGCCGCAACUCCAAUGCAGAAAUGAAAGGGGUUCCUGAUCCAAAGUUUACCAGGCACACAUAUAUGAACUCGUCCGGAGCAACCGUGAGCACCUCUUUCCAGAUAGUGUCUGAUGAGUCCUGUUUUGUCAAGUUCACCGUUGUCCAGAAGUUGACGCCGAUGUGGAGUCCAAACAGAAAUAAGGAACCGUUCUCUGACGACCUGAGUCCAUCGUAGUUUCCGGAAGCUUCUCAAGGUUUUCUCUUGCUCAUCGGUGGAUCCACUAAUUAGCUUUGGCACAACUUCAUGGUGUGUGCCGCCUUCAACGAAUUCAUGAUCAGGUACGUAUGUUAAAUUUGUUGUGCUGUCCGUGUAACUCUCGCCGUCUACGAAGCCACAGUCAAUGUUUGUGAACCCUGCAUAUACAGACAGAAAUGCUUGUGAGGGUAAGGUACCAACUUAAGCCUGACUCUUUUUUUUGUUGUUUUCUUCUGGGGAACUUAUAACGUAAGUUAAGAUGAACUAUUCUGUUCAUGGGCUUAUGGCCAAUUUAUCGGCUUAACAAUGAGUUGAGUAUAGAUACAUAACACCAUAUAGGGCAAUACUUGCACGUUUGGGAUCUCUGCUCCACAGUGCAGCUCACUGAUCAUUCUCCUGAUGAUUUUUUUUAAAAUAGCAUUUGUGUGGUCGUCCUCUACGUCAGGGGUCUACCCGGCGUCCAGUGCGUAUCAGGGUGGAUUCGUUGCAGCUUCUGGAAAAUAAUUCGUUCCAGGCAAAUGGAAAAAAAAACUGUGGUUUGUCAGCCGUGGGAGGUGUUUGACGGCUGAUAAUCUCCGGAAGCGUGGGUGGCCAAGUCAGACCUUCUGCCCACUUUGUCAGACAGUAGAAGAGACCUGCAAACAUUCUUUCGGUGGCUGCCUCUUUUCCCUUCAGAUAGGGGCGCAGGUCUGUUAACACUUCGGAAUUGCACCGGCUUUCGAUGGGGAUGACCUGGUAGCGUGGUGGCUUGCAAUUCGGAAGGAUUUCCAGAAGUUACUUCCUCCGUCCAACAAUAUUUAUCUCUCUAGUAUUAAAAAAUUAUCUUGAAAUAGUUGUCAUUUGGAAGUACCACUUAUCACAUCAACCACUUCCAAUUUAAAUUCCUCUCCAUGAUACCCCUAACCACUAUUCCACAUUUUAUUAAGGGUAUUAUAGUUUUUUUCUUCUAA